rnacentral:rRNA from 1 species
GAUGAACGCUGGCGGCGUGCCUAAUACAUGCAAGUCGAGCGAACAGAUGAGGAGCUUGCUCCUCUGACGUUAGCGGCGGACGGGUGAGUAACACGUGGAUAACCUACCUAUAAGACUGGGAUAACUUCGGGAAACCGGAGCUAAUACCGGAUAAUAUAUUGAACCGCAUGGUUCAAUAGUGAAAGACGGUUUUGCUGUCACUUAUAGAUGGAUCCGCGCCGCAUUAGCUAGUUGGUAAGGUAACGGCUUACUAAGGCAACGAUGCGUAGCCGACCUGAGAGGGUGAUCGGCCACACUGGAACUGAGACACGGUCCAGACUCCUACGGGAGGCAGCAGUAGGGAAUCUUCCGCAAAGGGCGAAAGCCUGACGGAGCAACGCCGCGUGAGUGAUGAAGGUCUUCGGAUCGUAAAACUCUGUUAUUAGGGAAGAACAAAUGUGUAAGUAACUAUGCACGUCUUGACGGUACCUAAUCAGAAAGCCACGGCUAACUACGUG